AGCGACAUAAGACUUAGCUUCCAGAGGCUUGUGGCCAUGCUCAAGGUCGAAGGGAGAAGAACUGUCAUUUCAGAAUAGUCGCCGUCCUCAGUGACAUUGAAGCCGAGAGUUAGUAACCGAGGAACAACACAACAAUCUGCUGCUCCUUCGAUUCUAACAGAGAAAACAUCAUACUUUCUAGCUGAGGUGACUCAUCCAUUCUCAGCUGCUUCAGAAAACGAAUUGGACUUGGAAAAAGGAGAUUGCGUCAUUCUCAUGUUGUUUCUAGAUAGGUUGAAAACAUUAUAGUAAUAGGCCACAUCAAAUAUGGAAGAAUUGCAGCGCUUAUGAGAACCAUCUAAAACAGCAGUCUAGGUACAUACAUAUAUUAUAUAUAUACACGAAACUGUUUU